GUAAACGAUGUCUACUUGGAGGUUGUGCCCUUGAGGCGUGGCUUCCGGAGCUAACGCGUUAAGUAGACCGCCUGGGGAGUACGACCGCAAGGUUAAAACUCAAAUGAAUUGACGGGGGCCCGCACAAGCGGUGGAGCAUGUGGUUUAAUUCGAUGCAACGCGAAGAACCUUACCUGGUCUUGACAUCCACGGAAGUUUUCAGAGAUGAGAAUGUGCCUUCGGGAACCGUGAGACAGGUGCUGCAUGGCUGUCGUCAGCUCGUGUUGUGAAAUGUUGGGUUAAGUCCCGCAACGAGCGCAACCCUUGUCCUUUGUUGCCAGCGAUUAGGUCGGGAACUCAAAGGAGACUGCCAGUGAUAAACUGGAGGAAGGUGGGG
rnacentral:rRNA from 1 species